GCUGGCGGCGUGCCUAACACAUGCAAGUCGUACGGGACCGGGGGCAACUCCGGUUCAGUGGCAGACGGGUGCGUAACACGUGAGGAACUUGUCCGGUGGCGGGGGAUAGCCGGCCCAACGGCCGGGUAAUACCGCAUACGCUCGUUCGGGGGCAUCCCUGGGCGAGGAAAGCAGCCGCAAGGUUGCGCCGACGGAGGGCCUCGCGACCUAUCAGCUUGUUGGCGGGGCAACGGCCCACCAAGGCGACGACGGGUAGCUGGUCUGAGAGGAUGAUCAGCCACAUUGGGACUGAGACACGGCCCAGACUCCUACGGGAGGCAGCAGUGGGGAAUAUUGCGCAAUGGCCGCAAGGCUGACGCAGCGACGCCGCGUGUGGGAUGACGGUCUUCGGAUUGUAAACCACUGUCAGGGGGAACGAAUACAGGGCUUCGAUAAGGAGACCCUGGGUGACGGUACCUCCAAAGGAAGCACCGGCUAACUCCGUGCCAGCAGCCGCGGUAAUACGGAGGGUGCGAGCGUUGUCCGGAAUCACUGGGCGUAAAGGGCGCGUAGGCGGUUCGGUAAGUUGUUGGUGAAAU
rnacentral:rRNA from 1 species